AGCGAACGCUGGCGGCAGGCCUAACACAUGCAAGUCGAACGAACUCUUCGGAGUUAGUGGCGGACGGGUGAGUAACACGUGGGAACGUGCCUUUCGGUUCGGAAUAACUCAGGGAAACUUGUGCUAAUACCGAAUGUGCCCUUCGGGGGAAAGAUUUAUCGCCUUUAGAGCGGCCCGCGUCUGAUUAGCUAGUUGGUGAGGUAAAGGCUCACCAAGGCGACGAUCAGUAGCUGGUCUGAGAGGAUGAUCAGCCACAUUGGGACUGAGACACGGCCCAAACUCCUGCGGGAGGCAGCAGUGGGGAAUCUUGCGCAAUGGGCGAAAGCCUGACGCAGCCAUGCCGCGUGAAUGAUGAAGGUCUUAGGAUUGUAAAAUUCUUUCACCGGGGACGAUAAUGACGGUACCCGGAGAAGAAGCCCCGGCUAACUUCGUGCCAGCAGCCGCCGUAA
rnacentral:rRNA from 1 species